UGUGUCACUGUGUCACUGUGUGUCACUGUGUGUCACUGUGUGUCACUGUGUCACUGUGUCACUGUGUCACUGUGUGUCACUGUCACUGUCACUGUGUCACUGUGUGUCACUGUGUCACUGUGUCACUGUCACUGUGUCACUGUGUGUCACUGUCACUGUCACUGCGUCACUGUCACUGUGUGUCACUGUCACUGUGUCACUGUCACUGUGUCACUGUGUGCUGUGUCCCUGUGUCCCUGUGUCACUGUGUCAUUGUGUCACUGUGGUGUCCCCUGAUGACCCCAUGUCCCCCACGAUGUCCUCCUGAUGUCCCUGUGGUGUCCCCAGGUGUCACUCACCAUGGUUGAAUCCUCCCAGCUCAGGAUCAGGAACCUGUGACGUUCCCCAGGUGUCCCCAGGUGUGUCCCCAGGUGUCCCCAGGUGUGUCCCCAGGUGUCCCCAUGUCCCCCCAGGUGUCCCCAUGUCCCCAGGUGUCACUCACCAUGGUGGAGUCCUUCUGGCUCAGGAUCAGGAACCCGUGACGUUCCCCAGGUGUCCCCAGGUGUGUCCCAGGUGUCCCCAGGUGUAUCUCAGGUGUCCCCAGGUGUGUCUCAGGUGUCCCCAGGUGUGUCCCAGGUGUCCCCAGGUGUGUC
rnacentral:lncRNA from 1 species